AUUCAGGUCCUUGUGCUAAUUACCAAAUAGCUCUUGAGCUGAUUAAUUUGUUGUGGAACUGGGAAGGAGCUAAGCUACACAGGGCUCCGACCCCCCUGGACUCCGGCCCCCCAGGGCUCCGACCCCCCUGUACUGGAGUUUGACACCCCUGCAGAGUGAAUGCUGGACUUUAAAGUUAAUGUUCAGACAACAGCUGAUUUAACUUGCAGCGCUGCCCUCCGAACCUGGCCUGCCCUCAGACACGCAACCCUGGAGGUGCGAAGCAGCAGCGCUGCCCUCCGAACCUGGCCUGCCCUCAGACACGCAACCCUGGAGGUGCGAAGCAGCAGCGCUGCCCUCCAGGCCACCCAUGCUGGUUACAAAUGAGAGUAAAUGUGGCAUCCUGGGAGGUCAAUGAUCAGUAAUUCCAGUAAAAGACUAAUUAAUGCAUACCAGGAAGAAGGGGAAAGCUGUCAUUAUGGGCCCUGAAGGAUCACAGCUGCACUCAAACCCAGAAUAAUGUUCUGCAGUGACCUUGUGCUUUCUUAUCUUGUCCAGUUCCUAAUCUCUGUUGACUGAAACCAAGCCAGACGAUCGAAGGUUCCUGCCAGCUGUGCAAUGUGACUGUGUGUGGGACUGUGAGGAACCGCAGAUUCAAAGAUCCCUCUGCUUUUCAACUGCAGUAUGUAUGAGCAUGUGGACGAGUCAGAGCAGGGGUGAGGAUGUCCAAGCUGCUAGCAGAACAUUUCUUAAGAGACUGAGAGUGCAGCAUGGGAGCCAGUGCGAAGAGCCCAAGGAGGACGGUAAUCGGAGGAACAUCAGGCGGUGCCUGGAAGGGGAGAGAGAAAUCGACAUGCGAGCCAAGCAACGCGGCAGGUGUGCUGCGAGACAGUGUAGAUGGGGGGGUUUGCCAGUGCGCCUCUGUGCUGGUGUGCGGGGGCUUCAAAUCAAGUCGCCUGAAAAGACAUGCAAGGAUUAGUUACAUCUGCUGGGAAAUGAGUAAGAGGCAUCUUAACACAGAAAUAUACUGUCACAUCACGGCUGAGGAUUAGACAGAAUUCAUCUGGAAGCAGACUUGACUCAAUAAGAUUCAGCUCCUUAUAGUCUUAUGUGUGUUAUGUGUGUUACUGAUUGCGUUCUUCAUCUUAAUCAUGAAAAUUAGGAUUUUGCUGACAUGUGCACAUUUUACUUGGCGUUUAAAGACUAUAUAAACAUUUUGAAUAUAAUUAUUGACAUACAGGUUUGCCACGCAAUCCGAAGGUAGAGUUUUCCUAUGUGACAUUUUGUAAACUGAAAUGGCGUAAAGUGUCAGUUAACAAUUACCAUCAAUAAUGCAUUACAGUGUAGAUUCACUUACCAGGAUCAAUGUAGUGAUGCGUCGCUUAACAACAGGGCUGCAUUCUGAGAAAUGCAUUGUUUGCCAAUUUUGCCAUUGUUUGUACACAUACACACACACAAAUACUAUUUAAAAAACAGAAAGGUCAUUUUGGAGUUUAUACAUAAAAUCCUGAAAGAGCUUGAUGUACCAGUCCACCAGAGCUAUGGAAUUCUGGGUAUUGUAAAUGUUCUAGUUGUUCUCACUGAUUUCACUCUGCUCUCCAUCAUGUGCAGAGGUUCUCCAGCACGCAUUAGUACCCGUGCCUUUGCUAACCAUAGGUUCUCCAGCACGCAUUAGUACCACGUACCUUUGCUAACCAUGGGUUCUCCAGCACCCAUUAGUACCCGUGCCUUUGCUAACCACAGGUUCUCCAGCACGCAUUAGUACCCGUGCCUUUGCUAACCAUAGGUUCUCCAGCACGCAUUAGUAUCCGUGCCUUUGCUAACCACAGGUUCUCCAGCACACAUUAGUACCCGUGCCUUUGCUAACCAUAGGUUCUCCAGCACGCAUUAGUAUCCGUGCCUUUGCUAACCACAGGUUCUCCAGCACACAUUAGUACCCGUGCCUUUGCUAACCAUAGGUUCUCCAGCACGCAUUAGUACCCGUGCCUUUGCUAACCAUAGGUUCUCCAGCACGCAUUAGUACCCGUGCCUUUGCUAACCAUAGGUUCUCCAGCACGCAUUAGUAUCCAUGCCUUUGCUAACCAUAGGUUCUCCAGCACACAUUAAUACCCGUGCCUUUGCUAACCAUAGGUUCUCCAGCACACAUUAGUACCCGUGCCUUUGCUAACCAUAGGUUCUCCAGCACACAUUAGUACCCGUGCCUUUGCUAACCACAGGUUCUCCAGCACGCAUUAGUACCACGUACCUUUGCUAACCAUAGGUUCUCCAGCACGCAUUAGUACCCGUGCCUUUGCUAACCAUAGGUUCUCCAGCACACAUU